GAUGAACGCUGGCGGCGUGCCUAAUACAUGCAAGUCGAGCGAACAGACGAGGAGCUUGCUCCUCUGACGUUAGCGGCGGACGGGUGAGUAACACGUGGAUAACCUACCUAUAAGACUGGGAUAACUUCGGGAAACCGGAGCUAAUACCGGAUAAUAUAUUGAACCGCAUGGUUCAAUAGUGAAAGACGGUUUUGCUGUCACUUAUAGAUGGAUCCGCGCCGCAUUAGCUAGUUGGUAAGGUAACGGCUUACCAAGGCAACGAUGAGUAGCCGACCUGUGAGGGUGAUCGGCCACACUGGAACUGAGACACGGUCCAGACUCCUACGGGAGGCAGCAGUAGGGAAUCUUCCGAAAUGGGCGAAAGCCUGACGGAGCAACGCCGCGUGAGUGAUGAAGGUCUUCGGAUCGUAAAACUCUGUUAUUAGGGAAGAACAAAUGUGUAAGUAACUAUGCACGUCUUGACGGUACCUAAUCAGAAAGCCACGGCUAACUACGUG
rnacentral:rRNA from 1 species